GAUGAACGCUGGCGGCGUGCCUAAUACAUGCAAGUCGAGCGAACAGACGAGGAGCUUGCUCCUCUGACGUUAGCGGCGGACGGGUGAGUAACACGUGGAUAACCUACCUAUAAGACUGGGAUAACUUCGGGAAACCGGAGCUAAUACCGGAUAAUAUAUUGAACCGCAUGGUUCAAUAGUGAAAGACGGUUUUGCUGUCACUUAUAGAUGGAUCCGCGCCGCAUUAGCUAGUUGGUAAGGUAACGGCUUACCAAGGCAACGAUGCGUAGCCGACCUGAGAGGGUGAUCGGCCACACGGGAACUGAGACACGGUCCAGACUCCGACGGGAGGCAGCAGUAGGGAAUCUUCCGCAAUGGGCGAAAGCGUGACGGAGCAACGCCGCGUGAGUGAUGAAGGUCUUCGGAUCGUAAAACUCUGUUAUUAGGGAAGAACAAAUGUGUAAGUAACUAUGCACGUCUUGACGGUACCUAAUCAGAAAGCCACGGCUAACUACGUG
rnacentral:rRNA from 1 species